AGCAGCCGCGGUAAUUCCAGCUCCAAUAGCGUAUAUUAAAGUUGUUGCAGUUAAAAAGCUCGUAGUUGAAUUUCGGGAUCAAUAUAUCGGUCGUGCCUUGGUACGUACUGGUAUCAUUGGUUUCUCCUUUCUGACGAACCAUGAUGUCAUUAAUUUGGUGUUAUGGGAAGUUAGGACUGUUACUUUGAAAAAAUUAGAGUGUUUAAAGCAGGCUUUAGCUUGAAUACAUUAGCAUGGAAUAAUGAAAUAGGACGUUCGAACCUAUUUUGUUGGUUUCUAGGAUCGACGUAAUGAUUAAUAGGGAUAGUUGGGGGCAUUAGUAUUCAAUUGUCAGAGGUGAAAUUCUUGGAUUUAUUGAAGACUAACUACUGCGAAAGCAUUUGCCAAGGAUGUUUUCAUUAAUCAAGAACGAAAGUUAGGGGAUCGAAGACGAUCAGAUACCGUCGUAGUCUUAACCAUAAACUAUGCCGACUAGGGAUCGGAUGAUGUAAUUUUUAAUGACUCAUUCGGCGCCUUACGG
rnacentral:rRNA from 1 species